rnacentral:rRNA from 1 species
GACGAACGCUGGCGGCGUGCUUAACACAUGCAAGUCGAACGGUGAAGCACCUUCCUUUUGGUGGGUGUGGAUGAGUGGCGAACGGGUGAGUAACACGUGAGUAACCUGCCCCCUUCUUCUGGAUAACCGCAUGAAAGUGUGGCUAAUACGGGAUAUUCUGUGCCUGCUGCAUGGUGGGUGUGGGAAAGAUGCGCUUUUGGGUGUUUUUGGUGGGGGAUGGGCUCGCGGCCUAUCGGCUUGUUGGUGGGGUGAUGGCCUACCAAGGCGGUGACGGGUAGCCGGCCUGAGAGGGUGGACGGUCACACUGGGACUGAGACACGGCCCAGACUCCUACGGGAGGCAGCAGUGGGGAAUAUUGCACAAUGGGCGCAAGCCUGAUGCAGCGACGCCGCGUGAGGGAUGGAGGCCUUCGGGUUGUAAACCUCUUUCGCCAGUGAAGCAGGCCUGUCCCUUGUGGGUGGGUUGACGGUAGCUGGAGAAGAAGCGCCGGCUAACUACGUG